UAUAGUGGUGGUUGUGCCUAAAGUUUUCAAAAUCGUAUUAUUGCAUAAUUGUUGGGUUGUUGUCUCCAGGAUAUGCCUGAUCUCUAUUAGCAGAUAGACCUGUAGGUUAGUUAAGUCACCCUAGAAAAUUGUCGCUUGUCCUUAAGUUGGCACUGGAACUUUUUAUUAACGAGGAGUCUCAUCUAAGGGAUCGGAUAGGCCCCCAUCUUUAGAGACUAGCCAAUCCACAUUCGGACUCAUGAGGGUUUAGUC
rnacentral:lncRNA from 1 species